UCCUACAGCUAUUUGUCAGAGCAGAGAAAU
rnacentral:piRNA from 1 species